rnacentral:lncRNA from 1 species
CCCGAGCCCUGGGGAAUCCAGAGGGUGACCGGCCCCAAAGCCAGGCCCUGAGAAGGCAGGGCCAGCGCCCCCCCCACGGUCCAGGAGACACACCCUGCCUCUGUUGUCCCCAGGUGCCCUUCCUGACCUGGGCCAUGACCUUGACAAGGUCACACAUACUGCUGGGCAAUCCUGCAGCAGGACCCAGGCUCUGGAGCCCUAGGAAGGCCAGCUGCCUUGGGUGGCCCUCCUGGGACUCACAGGUAACAGCCCAGGAAGUUGACACUGAGUUAAAGCAGGUAAGAGCCUACCACAUGGCCAACGAGAAUAACGGGAAUAACGGCAAGGGGUCUUGGCGCGGGCUACCGUGUGCCAGGCAGAGAGUAUCAUCUCACCCUCCCAAGGUACUAAGAGGAUUGGGGGUUUUUUGGGGGGAGGGGGGCUGGGAUGGAACCCAGGGCCUGAUGUACCUUAGGUAGGUGCUCCACCACUGAGCCUGGAUCCUUUUUAAAGGGUGAAAAUUGAGACUGUUUUGAACCCAAGGCUGUGUGACUCCCAAAUUCAGACUCUUGACAGCCUCUCUGAGCUCUGGCCCUAAACUCCUGUGUGACUUUUAGAAACUGACUCGACCUCUCUGGGCUUCUGCUUCUGGAUCUAAAAUGGAUAUGAUGGGCAGGGAAAGGAGGGCAGGAGUAUGGGAGGCAGAUUGAGGAAUUAUUCUUCCAGCUCAAGGCAGAGGGACACCCAGGAGGAGGGGCUGCCAAGGCCGGCUGAGGCUGAACCACUAAGGCCUUGAAUGGCCAGCUGGAGAGCAGGAAGUAUCUGUUGAGGCCAGGGCAGCCCUGGUGGGUUUGGCAGGGCUCGGCCACGGGCUGAGUGGGGUGCGCGAGGAGAAGGGGAGGUUGGGUGGUGGCCACGAGAGCACUAACACCACAGGCUCUCCCUACCUACAGUGACCUUGUGAAGCUGGGUUUGUGACUUACCUCUGCUCCCAGGGAGUCAGGGUGGGGGAGGGAGGGUCCCACCUAAGGUCACCCAAGGUCACCGCCCCCUGGGGAGCUGGGCCAGGCUGCAAACCCCCCCCCCCAAGGAACAUGCCCCCAGGCCCGCCCCAGCUGGGUCCUGGCCGGAAGGGACUUGGAACUUGCCCAGUUUUAAAACCAACUCCGUGUCCCUGAGUGAACCAGAAAGACGGGUCACCCUGGUGACAACCCAGAAAUUGGACAAAGGGACAAAGAGGUGGAGAGCUGGGACGGUGACAGGGAAAGUUUUUGGACCUGUCCAGUUGGGUUCCCAGGGAGCAGACCCGGCCAUUGCUUCAGGCCAGGUGACACCGCUGCCUCUAGGUGACAGUCCUGUCCCCCACAGGUUGAAGUGGACAUUGGAGACGCACGCGGAGGCGGGCAAGUGAAG